AUUGAACGCUGGCGGCAUGCUUUACACAUGCAAGUCGGACGAGUGGCGAACGGGUGAGUAACGCAUCGGAACGUACCGAGUAAUGGGGGAUAACUCUUCGAAAGGACAGCUAAUACCGCAUACUAUUCGAUCGGCCGAUGCCUGAUUAGCUGGGUGGCGGGGUACAGGCCCACCAAGGCGACGAUCCGUAGCGGGUCUGAGCGGAUGAUCGGCCACACUGGGACUGAGACAGGGCCCAGACGCCUAGGGGAGGCAGCAGGGGGGAAUAUUGGAAAAUGGGCGCAAGCCUGAGGAAGCCAUGCGGGGUGGCUGAAGAAGGCCUUCGGGUUGAAAAGGACUUUUGUCAGGGAGGCGGUACCUGAAGAGAAAGCAACGGCUAACUACGUGCCAGCAGCCGCGGUAAUUC
rnacentral:rRNA from 1 species